AUCCAGCUGACGAGUCUGAAUAGGAGGAAACGCAUGUUCUGGAU
rfam:Schistosoma haematobium scaffold1500_2, whole genome shotgun sequence.